rnacentral:rRNA from 1 species
UACAGAGGGUGCGAGCGUUACUCGGCAUUACGGGGAGUAAAGCGCACGUAGGUGGCGACGUAAGUCGGGUGUGAAAGCCCCGGGCUCAACCUGGGAAUUGCAUUCGAGACUGCAUUGCUGGAGUACGGAAGAGGAGGGCGGAAUUCCCGGAGUAGCGGUGAAAUGCGUAGAUAUCGGGAGGAACAUCAGUGGCGAAGGCGGCCCUCUGGUCCAGUACUGACACUCAAGUGCGAAAGCGUGGGGAGCAAACAGG